GACGACGGCUGGGCGGCGUGGAUUAGGCAUGCAAGUCGAACGGUAUCAUCCUUUCGGGGGUGAGAGAGUGGCGAACUGGUGAGUAACACGUAGGUUAUCUACCCUCAAGACGGGGACAACCCAGGGAAACUUGGGCUAAUACCGGAUGUGAGCAACUUUUAGUUGUUUGAAAGGUGGCGUAAGCUGUCGCUUGGGGAUGAGCCUGCGUCCUAUUAGUUAGUUGGUGAGGUAACGGCUCACCUAGGCAAUGAUAGGUAGGCGGCCUUAACGGGUGGUCGCCCACACUGGGAUUGAGAUACGGCCCAGACUCCUACGGGAGGCAGCAGUAAGGAAUAUUGGGCAAUGGAGGCAACUCUGACCCAGCCAUGCCGCGUGCAGGAAGACGGCCCUACGGGUUGUAAACUGCUUUUAAUAGGGAGUAAGGUUAGUUACGUGUAACUAAUUGCAAGUACCUAUAGAAUAAGGAUCGGCUAACUCCGUG
rnacentral:rRNA from 1 species